rnacentral:tRNA from 1 species
GCGGGGGUGCCCGAGCCAGGUCAAAGGGGACGGGUACUCCGUGCCAAGUUCACGGAGCCGUAAUCAGGUCCCGUUGGCGAAGGCCUGCGUGGGUUCAAAUCCCACCCCCCGCA